UUGAACGCUGGCGGCAUGCUUUACACAUGCAAGUCGAACGGUAACAGGCCUUCGGGUGCUGACGAGUGGCGAACGGGUGAGUAAUGCAUCGGAACGUACCCAGAGGUGGGGGAUAACGCAGCGAAAGCUGUGCUAAUACCGCAUGUGAUCUGAGGAUGAAAGCGGGGGACCGAGCAGCAAUGUUUGGCCUCGCGCCUUUGGAGCGGCCGAUGUCGGAUUAGCUAGUUGGUGGGGUAAAGGCCUACCAAGGCGACGAUCCGUAGCUGGUCUGAGAGGACGACCAGCCACACUGGGACUGAGACACGGCCCAGACUCCUACGGGAGGCAGCAGUGGGGAAUUUUGGACAAUGGGCGCAAGCCUGAUCCAGCAAUGCCGCGUGCAGGAAGAAGGCCUUCGGGUUGUAAACCGCUUUUGGCAGGAACGAAACGGUGUCCGCUAAUACCGGGCGCUAAUGACGGUACCUGCAGAAUAAGCACCGGCUAACUACGUG
rnacentral:rRNA from 1 species